rnacentral:rRNA from 1 species
GAUGAACGCUAGCGAUAGGCCUAACACAUGCAAGUCGAGGGGCAGCACAUGAGUAGCAAUACGAUGGUGGCGACCGGCGCACGGGUGAGUAACGCGUAUGCAACCUACCUGUUACAGAGGAAUAACCCGGAGAAAUCCGGACUAAUACCGCAUAACACUACGAUAUCGCAUGGUAUUGUAGUUAAAGAUUUAUUGGUAACAGAUGGGCAUGCGUGACAUUAGCUAGUUGGUGAGGUAACGGCUCACCAAGGCAACGAUGUCUAGGGGUUCUGAGAGGAAGGUCCCCCACACUGGUACUGAGACACGGACCAGACUCCUACGGGAGGCAGCAGUGAGGAAUAUUGGUCAAUGGGCGAGAGCCUGAACCAGCCAAAUCGCGUGCAGGAUGACUGCCUUAUGGGUUGUAAACUGCUUUUGUAAAGGAAUAACAACUCUCACGAGUGAGAGGAUGAAUGUACUUUAAGAAUAAGGAUCGGCUAACUCCGUGCCAGCAGCCGCCGUAAGAC